UUAAACUGUUUGUUCAGUCAUUCUUGCACUUUACAGCUGGAAUUCUGGGAACUCAAAAAUAACAUCUUUGCCAGUGAGCUUCUUGUAGACACCCGAAAAUGUUUCCACCUUGUGUUCAACAUUAUUUUGUUCUGCUUUGUCCAAAUGGACCUUUAUGAAUCUGCUGCUGUCUAGUUUCAGACCGGAAGAGCA